rnacentral:rRNA from 1 species
GAUGAACGCUGGCGGCGUGCUUUACACAUGCAAGUCGAACGGUAACAGGGAGCUUGCUCCGCUGACGAGUGGCGAACGGGUGAGUAAUGCAUCGGAACGUACCCAGUCGUGGGGGAUAACGUAGCGAAAGUUACGCUAAUACCGCAUACGUCCUGAGGGAGAAAGCGGGGGACCGAAAGGCCUCGCGCGAUUGGAGCGGCCGAUGUCGGAUUAGCUAGUUGGUAGGGUAAAGGCCUACCAAGGCGACGAUCCGUAGCGGGUCUGAGAGGAUGAUCCGCCACACUGGGACUGAGACACGGCCCAGACUCCUACGGGAGGCAGCAGUGGGGAAUUUUGGACAAUGGGCGCAAGCCUGAUCCAGCCAUGCCGCGUGAGUGAAGAAGGCC